AUUGAACGCUGGCGGCAGGCCUAACACAUGCAAGUCGAGCGGAGCGGCGGACGGGUGAGUAAUGCCUAGGAAUCUGCCUGGUAGUGGGGGAUAACGUCCGGAAACGGGCGCUAAUACCGCAUACUAUCAGAUGAGCCUAGGUCGGAUUAGCUAGUUGGUGGGGUAAAGGCCUACCAAGGCGACGAUCCGUAACUGGUCUGAGAGGAUGAUCAGUCACUCGGUAACUGAGACACGUCCCAGACUCUUGCGGGAGGCAGCAGUGGGGAAUAUUGGAAAAUGGGCGAAAGCCUGAGCCAGCCAGGCCGCGUUUGUGAAGAAGGUCUUCGGAUUGUAAAGUUCUUUCAGCGGGGAGGCGUUACCCGCAAAAGAAGCCCCGCCUAACUCCGUGCCAGCAGCCGCGGUAAUUC
rnacentral:rRNA from 1 species